rnacentral:lncRNA from 1 species
UCCGGUUUCAUGGGUGACAUGGGCGAAGAAGGCCGCAAUCUCACGCCUAGAAGCUUCUGCUGAGAGACCCCGAAUGGCGAAGAGAGGGUAAGAUCUUGCGGCCUGGAGAAAGGCCUCUCGAGUGUAGAAUGACUUUCCGGGGCAGUUGUUGGGGGCACGGUUGCGAAUGCCUUCGAAGAAAGUUGGAGUGACGAUGUUGGCUAGCAGACCCUGACCGACCUGAGCCUCCACGACCGUGAUGGGGACGGCGAAGGAGGCUAUAAGUAUGGCUAUGGUGGAGAUGAGAAGUUGAAGGUUGCCCAUGGUUGAAGACAUUAAGGGAGUGGUGUGGAUGUGAGUGUGUGGUUGAUGGGGGCAUGCAAGAGCUAUUUAUAGAAAUGGGUGUGGUGGCUUAAGCAGGAAGCACCACUCUAGUGUUUAUCCAUCA